UACGUAGGGUCCGAGCGUUGUCCGGAAUUAUUGGGCGUAAAGGGCUCGUAGGCGGUCUGUUGCGUCGGGAGUGAAAACUUACAGCUUAACUGUGAGCGUGCUUUCGAUACGGGCAGACUUGAGGCAUUCAGGGGAGAACGGAAUUCCUGGUGUAGCGGUGAAAUGCGCAGAUAUCAGGAGGAACACCCGGUGGCGAAGGCGGUCU
rnacentral:rRNA from 1 species